UUUUCGGUUCCCUUCGAGAUCAAAUUCAUAUAUGAAUAUUUUCUGUGUAGGACAGUAUCACUUGCGCAGUUUUAUUCUGCGUAUUUUCGUCUCUCUGCAAUACACGAGGAUCGACCGACGAUAACGAAGUGAUCAAUAUACGUGGUCUCUCAACCCCCCCCCCCCCCCCCCCCCCCCCCGUUCUUCUAAUGCCAUACCACCAUCUUCUAGGCAGGCUGCUAAAGCAGCAGCAUCACCAUCAAUUUGUUUGCUGCUGCUGCUGCAUCUGUUGACUCGAACUACAACUGUUGCUGACAGAGAACUCUGCAGCCUUGUGUUCAGUCGGGCAGUAGUAUGCGUGCGUGUGGGGGCGGAUUCCUUCUUUCCUUUUUACUGUUGGAGGUAUGGUCAGUGUUGGACCUCUUGGUGUCGAUUGAAGAUCUUAGUUCACGUGGAACUAACAGGGGUGGAGUUGAAAAAAUAAGCGGGAGAAACAGUGAUGCAACGUGGAUGUAGAUGAAUUAGACUUGGGUGAGUGCACGAAUUGGCUAACAACUCCAAUAACAUAUGCAGAAUUAGGUCCAGUAAGAGAUAAGUAUAUUAAUUUUCCUAGUAAUCUUUGAAAGAUGCCAACAUCAUGAACAAGUUCACCUCCUUGAUCAUCCAAACUUAUAAACUUGGUUUCAUUGGUGUCUUUGCAGAUUUUGGCCCAAGUUUUCUAGUUUCUUUAAGUAGAUCAUGGAUAUGCUUAUGCUGCCUUAUAGUAUUUCCUAUUUCGGUGAGUUAGUCACAGUCAAGCAGAACAGUCCCAUAUAUAAUUUGGAGUUGGUUAGUGAGUUUCAGAACACAACUAAUGAAGAUAAGAUUCAUUGGUAAUACAGAUCUGUCUGGAAUUGGUCACCAUAUUGCACAACUUGGAUCUAAGUUGGCUUCAACACUCGUUAUAGACUUAUAGUGAUCUCCAAAGUUAGCUGCUUAGGUUUUGAGAACCUCUGCUCUCUCUCUCUCUCUCUCUCUCUCUCUCUUAUAUAUAUAGAACAGUCUCGUAGCUGUCAUAUUUAACUUUUUUCCUGCCAUUUCUACAUUCCUACACAUAUUGGAAUGUGGGUGGGUACAUAUACAAAAGAUUGCCAUCUCUCAUAAUCUUGAAUUAGUCUCCAAUAAAA